AUUGAACGCUGGCGGCAUGCCUAACACAUGCAAGUCGAACGGCAGCACGUUCCAGUUUACUGGGAUGGUGGCGAGUGGCGCACGGGUGAGUAAAACGUAGGAAUAUACCUUGAAGUGGGGGAUAACUUGGGGAAACUCAAGCUAAUACCGCAUGAGCUCUAAGGAGGAAAGCUGGGGACCGAAAGGCCUGGUGCUUUAAGAUUAGCUUACGACCGAUUAGCUAGUUGGUAGGGUAAAGGCCUACCAAGGCGACGAUCGGUAGCUGGUCUGAGAGGAUGAUCGGCCACACUGGGACUGAGACACGGCCCAGACUCCUACGGGAGGCAGCAGUGGGGAAUAUUGGACAAUGGGGGCAACCCUGAUCCAGCGAUGCCGCGUGUGUGAAGAAGGCCUACGGGUUGUAAAGCACUUUCGGUGGGGAGGAGGACGUAUUGGUUAAGAGCUGGUAUGUUGGACGAUACCCACUAAAGAAGCACCGGCUAACUCCGUGCCAGCAGCCGCAGUAAAAC
rnacentral:rRNA from 1 species